AUGUUACUGUCAAAUAAUCUUUUUUGCUACAUGGUUUUUUUUUUUUUAAUAGUGAUAGGCUUUACUCCUGUAGAAACUGAAAAGAAAAUCACUUGCUUUAGGCCAGAAAAUAAUUGCCUGGCUGAAAUAAAUGAUCAAACCUGCAAAGAACUUCAUUUUUUAGCUUCAACCAGCAUAGUUCCACAGAAUUCACAGCAAACACCUACAAAUAAAAAUUGGGAUGUGUUUUUCGUCCCUUUACUUCUACUGUUUCUUACCAACAGAGAGAAAAUCAGCCCUUGUUUUGGUGGGAAUGUCCUUGGGAGCUCAGAAACUCUCAGUCGUGAAACAACAAGCCAAGCUGUUGACAAAUGCAUGAUUUGCCCCUGCAUGAUGAACCAUGGGGCAGCUCAUGGGUUAAGCACUGCCUGCUGGCAACGGCACAGGAAGCAGCCAGAGCCACGGACAACAGCAGCCUCUUCACCUUGGACCAAGGAGUACCAUGGAGCCCAGGUGGGUCUUUUCAGUUUCAGUGAAUAUUGCUACAAUUUUUGUUGUAAGAAAUCUGUCUGCAACUAGGCCUACAUAUUUUUUUAGCAGAGACAAAUAGGACUGCAGCAAAGGACUUCCUUGCUAGAAUUUGCAACAGUUGUGCACCCAGCUUGUCUCAUUCACAAAGCACCCACUUCCAUUAACAGGGAGUGUAACAUAGUUGUGUGCCUGCAUGGUCUCUUGCUAUUUAAUCUGUCCCUGCACCUGUCAUACAGUGCAGACAGGCCUGAGUCACUUGGCUGUCAUUGCAGGACUUAAACUGUCCUGCAUACCUUGGAAUCAGAAACUCAGAGUGGUUUCAGUUUAGGAUUUGGUUCAGGCCAUUACCUACACAAACACCAGCCCUUAAAUUCACACGAUAAACUUCCUUCAACACUUGCAGGUUUGUCAGAUUGUUUGAUCCUGUUUCACAAAACCUGGAAGAAUAAGGUCAGAUAAGAAGGCAGGGAAGCGAUGACCAGCCGAAGAGACUAGGGACUGGUCAAACAACAUAAAAUGGGCAGGAAAGGGACAAUAUCCCUAGAGCAAGUUUGAAGAAAAAAAAAAAAAAAAGUAGAAGAAAGUAGAAAUUUGGGUGCACCACUGAGUAUGAAGAAAUGGCACAAUGAUGUUUGGGUUCGAUCAGAAGAAUUAUGAUGUAAAAAAUGAAUCUGUUGGAGCAGGUCCAGAAGAAGGUCACAGAAAUGACAAGAGGGGUGAAGCAUCUCUCCUAUGAGGAAAGGAUGAGAAAGUUGGAGUUGUUCAGCCUGGAGAAGAAGGCUCUGGGAAGACCUUGUUGCAGCCUUUCAGUACCUAAAGGGGACUUAAAAGAAACAUGGGGACAGACUUUUUAAUAGGACUCGUAGCAACAGGACAAGUGGUAAUGGUUUUAAACUAAAAGAGGGUAGAGUCAGACUACAUACAAAGAUGAAUUUUUUUAUGAUGAGGGUGACAAACACUAGCCCAGGUUGCCCAGAGAGGUGAUGGAUGCCCCGUCCCUGGGAACAUUCAGGGUCGGGUUUCAUGGGGCUCUGAGUAACCUGGUCUAGUUGAAGAUGCCCCUGCUUAUUGCAGGAGAGUUGGACUAGAUGGCCUUUAAAGGUCCUUUCCAAACCAGACCAUUCUGAUUCUAGAAGGGUACCAAGCAGAAGGAGCCAUUAAAGUCAAUGGAAGAUGUUUCUAUUAAUACAAGAUAAGUAAAGGAAAAGACAAGUAUAUAUGAGGGACAAACACAAAUAUGUAUGUAUUUUUAUAAUAUAUAUGUUUAUAUAACAUAUGUUUAUAUGGUAUAUAAGUAUUUUUAUAUUUCUAUAAAGAUAACUGAAAUAUUUCCUGUUGGUUUUUAUUCCAGUCUUUAGAACCAGAAUUGUUAACCAGCAACUAACAAAAUCAUUUUUAACAAUAGGAUGGGGGCAUAGAGGAACAUAGAUCAGCAAAGGCUAACAGAUAUUUAAAAAAAAUACAUGUACUCCAGCGGAUUUAGUUACAGCAAUUUGUGAAUUAUUGCUGCUAAUGUUUCAGGAAUUAUAAUGAAUUGGGGUAAAACAGACAUAACAUUUUGUUUUGUGAAAAAGAGGAGUCAAAUUGAAUUUCUAAACUAAAGUAUUUUACAUCUAUGCACAAUCUAUUCAGUGUUUGAAACUUGCAAGUGGAUUUUUCUAACGUGAACUUCUGAGUACAAUAAUUAUUACUCUGUAUAUCUGUUUCAGUUGAAGGAAACCAUGAAAGUGUUCUGUAAAUUACAAAUAACUUUACUUUUGUCAUUAUCAGAUGACUCCUCUUAUAAAUCUAUUGUCAAAGAAGGAAGUCGGCAACAUUUUUUUUCAGAAUCCACAUAAACAAAAGACUAAUUAGUCAUCAAUGACCAAUUUUUCCUAACAUGGAUAUGCAACUAUUUGCAGUCUUGGUAAAUCAUUCCAUUUGCUCCAACUUUUGAUAUUCUGGGAAAUCCAUGUUCUUUCCAACCUUUUCAUUUCAGGUUUUUAUUACUUUGGAAUUCUUAGUUGAUGCCUGUGCAUAGGAAGGACAACUUGAGACGAAGGGCAAGGAAGGGAGGUAGGUUAAUAGGCACAGUUUGUCCAAUAUCAUAGAAUCGUGGAAUGGUUUGGAUGGAAGGGACCUUAAAGACCAUCUUGUUCUAACCCGUGGGCAGGAACACUUUCCACUGUCCCAGGUUGCUCAGAGCCCCAUCCAGCCUGGCCUUGAACACUUUUAGGGAUGGGGCAUACACAGCUUCUCUGGGCAACCUGUGCCAGUACCUCACCACCCUCACAGUAAAGAAUUUCCUUCUAACAUCUAGUCUAAAUUUUUCAGUUUGGGGCCAUUCCCCCUUAUUUUAUCACAUGUCCUACAUGCCCUUGUAAAAAGUUUCUCACCAUCUUUCUUUUAGGCUCCCUCCAGGUACUGGAAGGCAGCAAUUAGGUCACCCUGGAGCCCCCUCUUCUCCAAGCUGGAAAAAAAACAAUUCUCUCAGCCUUUCCUCACAGGAGAGGUGCUCCAUCCCUCUAAUCAUCUUGGAAACCUUCCUCUGGGCUCACUCCAAAGGUCCAUGUCCUUCGUGUGCUGAGGACCCCAGAUCUGGAUGUAGCACUGGAGGUGGGGUCUCAACAGAGGGAAGUGAAGGGGUAGGAUCCCCUCUCUCACCCUGCUGGCCAUGCUGCUUUGGAUGCAGACCAGGAUGUGUUUGGCUCUCUGGGCUCCAAAUGUUCCUGUCCAGCCUCUCAUCCACCAGCAGCCCCAGGUCCUUCUCAGCAGGGCUGCUCUGAUCUGUUCAUCCCCACCCUCUGUUGAUACCAGAGGCUGCCCUGGCCCAGGUGCAGCACCUUGCACUUGGUCUUGCUAAACCUCAUGACAUUCCCAUGCACUCACUUCUUGGGCUUGUCCAGGUCCCUUUGGGUGGCAUCCCAUCCUUCAGGUGUGUCCCUCCUCUCUUUGGUGUCAUCUACAAAUCUGCUGAGGCUGCACUCAAUUCCUUCGUCUAUGUCAUUAAUGAAAAUACUAAAUAAAACUGGUCCCAGUACAGACACUUGAGGGACACCACUUGUCACUGAGGUCCAUUAGGACUCUGAGCCAUUGACUAUGACACUCUGGAUGCAACUGUUCCACCAUUUUCUUACACACGUAAGAGUCCACCCACCAAAUCCAUCUCUUUCCAGUUUAGAGAGAAGGCUGCUGUGGGGGGGCCUGUCAAAGUCUCUACAGAAGUCCAGAUAAAUGACAUCUGUAACCCUUCCUUUGUCCACUGAUACAGCCACUCCAUCAUAGAAGGCCAUAGGCUGAUCAGGCAGGACCUGCCCUUGGUAAAGCUCUGCGGGCUGUCCCAAAUCACAUCACUGUCCUUGAUGCGCCUUAGCAGAGCUUCUAGGAGGAUCUGUUCCAUGAUCUUGCCCAGGCACAGAGGUGGUGCUAACAGGUCGGUAGUACCCAGGGUCCACCUUUCUACCCUUUUUAAAGAUGAGUACAAUGUUUCCCUUUUUCCAGUCACCUGGGACUUCUUCUGAUUGCCAUGACUUCUCAAAUAUCAUGGACAGUAGCUUGGCAACUACAUCUGCCUGUUCCCUCAGACUACUCAUUCUAUCUCACACUACUACUUAUUCUUUAUCUAGGAUUAGGGCCUUUUUACCUAAUGUGAGGUCUGAACAACUGGUUGAGCGCAAGAAAGUGCUGAAAACAGAAAAAACUUUGGAAAAUCCCUAUUUACGAAGUUCAUGCAAUGUGUAAUUUCAGUCAAGCAGUCCAAAUAGUAUCAGGGAGGUGAAUCACAGCAGAAAUUAGUCAUGCUAUAGCUGCCUCAAAGCUUAAAAAAAAUGACCCUAAUUUGCCCCCCACUUCCUGCUGUUAAAGAUCAACCAAGUGGACAACAUGACCCUCCAAGUACUGCACUGCUGAGCUACUGUGACUAGUUUCUACCCACAGGGCACAUCUCCUUGAAGCUCUGUGUAUGACUUGCUUGAGUACAGAACAGUGGGUGGAGGAAAACACAUCACACUACUUCCUGCAGACAUCUUAAAUCACUCUAUUACUCAGAGAAAAAAUUCCAAAUCUUCCUUUUCCCUGAAUAAAACCUCAGUGAAGUCAAUGUCCCUCUCCCCCACAAUACUCCUUGACACAAAAGAAAAAAACCCAUCCUGUGUCUAUUGAAGAAGCAGCAGGCAAGUCAUAAUCAGUCAUAGACAUCAGAACUACUUAUAAUCCCAAACUCAUACACUGAUCCUUGUUGAACAGGACAAUGCAAAAAACCCCAAGAUUACACAGGUCUUGCUUAUUAGAAGCCAUAUAAGCCAUGAUCAACAUGCAAUAUUAAUAAGAAACAAUGACUGGAACAACUGUGUUGUAACCUGGGAUUGAGAAAUAGGAACUUCAUCCUUCUAAGUUCAGUGAGUUCUGAUUCA
rnacentral:lncRNA from 13 species